GCAAAAGAGCAUAGCCACUGUGGAGGUCAGUUUAACAGUAAGCAAUACUCUAAUCAUAAGAUCCAGCUAUCAUUCUUCAUGGUUUUUACUUAAAGGAGUUGAAAACUUAUGUCCACACAAAAAACUGAACACAGAUAUUUACAGCUGUUUUAUUCAUAAAUACCAAUACCUUGGAAGCAACCAAGAUGACCUUCAGUUGGCCCAUGGCUAAAUAAACUGUGGUACAUCUAGACAAUGGGAUAUUAUCCAACACUAAAAAGAAAUGAACUAUCAAACCAUAAAAAAAUGGAGAAAAGUUAAAUGAAUUAACUAAGUGAAAUAAGCCAAUCUGAAAAGACUAAACACUGCAUGAUUCUAACUGUAUGACAUUUUGUAAAAAGAGAAGUAGGAAGACAUAAAAAAAAUCAGUGCUUGCUAGAAGCCUAAAGAAGAAGGAAUAAAUAGGCAGAGCACAGAGUAUUCUUAAGACAAUGAGGUACUCUGUAUGGUACUAUAUGGUGAUACAUGUUUUCUAGUAAACCCUAAUGUAAACUAUGGAAUUUGGGUAAUAAUAAUAUAUCAACACUGAUUCCUAAGUUUUAAUAUUUAUAGCACUCUGGUAGUGGAAGUUAUGCAUGUGUGGAGGCAGAAGGUAAAUGGGAAAUCUUUGUCAUAAUUCUGCUGUUGACCUAACACUGCUCUAAAAAAUAAAGUCUAUUUAAAAAGAAGUUAUAAAAUACCAAGGUAAUUAAUAAUUUUCUGGUCCUGAGAGGCAGCUUCUAAUUUGAUUAAAUGAAGGGAAGGAGCAAAACAUGUUUACGUAUUUUUAAAGAGGUCAGAUCUUAGUCCUUAUCUCUCACAACUCCUGUUGUCACACAACUUAAGGCAAAUGCUUUCUGAUAGUCACUUACAUUGCCAACGAUGUACUUCGUUAGGUGAAGAAACUCACAUAUAGAUGCUUUACAUUUUUUAAUUACUCAUAUAAGAUUUUUCUUGGUAACAGUUGUGCCCCACUAUGAGUAAUAAGAUUGUGUCACAUCCCAUAUAGAAUCUAUAUUAUUAGCAAGGUGGCAUAUGAUGUCACAUCC
rnacentral:lncRNA from 1 species